rnacentral:rRNA from 1 species
CGGGGACAUGUGCACGCUCUGUUUGCACAUCCAUUCACACCUGUGCACCCUCUGUAGUUCUGCAGCCUGGGGGCUCUGGCCCCCUGCCGUGGUUCUAUGUAUUUACACACACACACGCUGUAACAAAGUCUCAUGGAAUGUAUACCGCGCUUAACGCAAUACAAUACAACUUUCAGCAACGGAUCUCUUGGCUCUCGCAUCGAUGAAGAACGCAGCGAAAUGCGAUAAGUAAUGUGAAUUGCAGAAUUCAGUGAAUCAUCGAAUCUUUGAACGCACCUUGCGCCCUUUGGCUAUUCCGAAGGGCAUGCCUGUUUGAGUAUCAUGAACACCUCAACUCUCAUGGCUUGCCAUGAUGAGCUUGGACUUUGGGGGUCUUGCUGGCCUGGGGUCAGCUCCUCUCAAAUGAAUUAGCUUGCCAGUGUUUGGUGUGGUAUCAUGGGUGUGAUAACUAUCUACGCUUGUGGUUUUCCACCCAGUAACCUUCUGCGACG